rnacentral:lncRNA from 1 species
CUUUUGGAUGCAGAUAGCGCAAUGUGUCUUCCUGCUGAAGUCUGGCCAGUGUGUUUCGGUUAAUUGAAGAGAGGCUGUAUGGUCCAGUUAACUGAGGACAGGCCUCCGCAAUGGAGCUACCAGGCACAAAGAAGUCGGAGUACCCACGAUGCAAGAAAAAGGAGAAGCUAAGAAGAGAUAAAGAUGCUGUUUAGUCUUUCCAAAGCAUUACAAUGCAAGCAGAUACCUACUGGGCUUCAAAGGAAGAGACUUUCCAGGAUUCCUUGAAGUUUG